GCCGGGGUAGCUCAGCCUGGAAGAGCGCCGGGCUGUUAACCCGGUGGUCCGGGGUUCGAAUCCCCGCCCCGGCG
rnacentral:tRNA from 1 species